rnacentral:rRNA from 1 species
GACGAACGCUGGCGGCGUGCUUAACACAUGCAAUUCGAACGGAAAGGCCCUGCUUUUGUGGGGUGCUCGAGUGGCGAACGGGUGAGUAACACGUGAGUAACCUGCCCUUGACUUUGGGAUAACUUCAGGAAACUGGGGCUAAUACCGGAUAGGAGCUCCUGCUGCAUGGUGGGGGUUGGAAAGUUUCGGCGGUUGGGGAUGGACUCGCGGCUUAUCAGCUUGUUGGUGGGGUAGUGGCUUACCAAGGCUUUGACGGGUAGCCGGCCUGAGAGGGUGACCGGCCACAUUGGGACUGAGAUACGGCCCAGACUCCUACGGGAGGCAGCAGUGGGGAAUAUUGCACAAUGGGCGGAAGCCUGAUGCAGCAACGCCGCGUGCGGGAUGACGGCCUUCGGGUUGUAAACCGCUUUCGCCUGUGACGAAGCGUGAGUGACGGUAAUGGGUAAAGAAGCACCGGCUAACUACGUGCCAGCAGCCGCGGUGAUACGUAGGGUGCGAGCGUUGUCCGGAUUUAUUGGGCGUAAAGGGCUCGUAGGUGGUUGAUCGCGUCGGAAGUGUAAUCUUGGGGCUUAACCCUGAGCGUGCUUUCGAUACGGGUUGACUUGAGGAAGGUAGGGGAGAAUGGAAUUCCUGGUGGAGCGGUGGAAUGCGCAGAUAUCAGGAGGAACACCAGUGGCGAAGGCGGUUCUCUGGGCCUUUCCUGACGCUGAGGAGCGAAAGCGUGGGGAGCGAACAGGCUUAGAUACCCUGGUAGUCCACGCUGUAAACGGUGGGUACUAGGUGUGGGGUCCAUUCCACGGGUUCCGUGCCGUAGCUAACGCUUUAAGUACCCCGCCUGGGGAGUACGGCCGCAAGGCUAAAACUCAAAGGAAUUGACGGGGCCCCGCACAAGCGGCGGAGCAUGCGGAUUAAUUCGAUGCAACGCGUAGAACCUUACCUGGGUUUGACAUGGAUCGGGAGUGCUCAGAGAUGGGUGUGCCUCUUUUGGGGUCGGUUCACAGGUGGUGCAUGCCUGUCGUCAGCUCGUGUCGUGAGAUGUUGGGUUAAGUCCCGCAACGAGCGCAACCCUUGUUCACUGUUGCCAGCACGUUAUGGUGGGGACUCAGUGGAGACCGCCGGGGUCAACUCGGAGGAGGGUGGGGAUGACGUCAAGUCCUCAUGCCCCUUAUGUCCAGGGCUUCACGCAUGCUACAAUGGCUGGUACAGAGAGUGGCGAGCCUGUGAGGGUGAACGAAUCUCGGAAAGCCGGUCUCAGUUCGGAUUGGGGUCUGCAACUCGACCUCAUGAAGUCGGAGUCGCUAGUAAUCGCAGAUCAGCAACGCUGCGGUGAAUACGUUCCCGGG